UUGGCCCAGCCUUCUUUAGUAAACAACUCAAACAGGUUACGCGACAAAACAUGAAAAUGUAAUCGGAUCUUGUCCUGAUACCAAUAUAAAAUCCAACUCACUCAUUAUUCAGAAACCUAAACCUAGGCGUGACGUCAAAAAAAAAGAGAGAAGAUAAAUAAAGUUAAGCGCCGCCAAGCUCUGCAACUACGAUCUGUAACCUUACAAAAGAUCGAGAAAAGAGCCUCUUUUGGUGAAACACAACAGUUGUGUUGGAUUCAGAGGUCCGAAUCUGCUGCUACACUGAUGGGUUUUCAGAUUCUGCUGUUAGAUUGAUUCACCAUCUUGUCAAACUGAAAGGAUAUGCAAAAAGAGUAAUGGUAAAUGGUUGUGUGAUGAAGAAAUUACAAGAGAAAUGUUUGAGGAUAUUCAUCAUUGUGAUUUUGGAAGACUUGAAGCAAAUACAUUGAAGGAAGAUGGGGGAUUUAAAGAUGGUAUAUAUAAGAUCAUUUAUACAUCACUUCUUCGCUUGUAAUUUUCUUUGAUCAUUGUACCUUUUAGCCGAGUCUUCUGUUGUUUGUAGUUUCAUUAUUAAUAGUAAAAGUUAUUUUGUUCAUUAUUUAUACCUUUCACUGUCAAAUCAAAUAAUCAGUUUCGUUGCUAUCUACUUCUGAUAUUCUUGCA